rnacentral:lncRNA from 1 species
UACCACCAUUCUACCAAAUGUGCACCAUCAGAUUCAUAAGCCAUCAAUAACAUGGGUUCAUCAUCAAAAUCUCCUCUGACUAUGUUUGCUUCUUCUGAUUUCCUUUCCUUGUUUGACCAACAAUCAGGAGCAAAUUGGCCAAACUUCUUACAACAAUAGCAUUAAACCUUCUUUUUGUCAAAUUUCUCCUUUCCAUUCUGAUGUUUCUUCUCAUCAAAGUUUGAGGCUUCUGACUUCUGAAAACCAC